CAGUAGCCGCGGGAAUACGAAGGGUGCAAGCGUUAAUCGGAAUUACUGGGCGUAAAGCGUGCGUAGGCGGUUUCUUAAGUCUGAUGUGAAAGCCCCCGGCUCAACCGGGGAGGGUCAUUGGAAACUGGGAAACUUGAGUGCAGAAGAGGAGAGUGGAAUUCCACGUGUAGCGGUGAAAUGCGUAGAGAUGUGGAGGAACACCAGUGGCGAAGGCGACUCUCUGGUCUGUAACUGACGCUGAGGAGCGAGAGCGCGGGGAGCGAACAGGAUUAGAUACCCCUGUAGUCCCUGUCUCUUAUAC
rnacentral:rRNA from 1 species